AUUUGUAACAAGUUCCUCAUCCUCUGUCAAUAUAUUUUGCCAGCAUUUAACGAAAAAGAAGGAAUAAUUAAAUAUUCCAUGUUAUCAUUACAAAUGAAUUAGUCCAAACCCAAAACGAAAUAAGGAAAGAAGGAAAGAGAGAACAAUUAAUUUCUGCAACCAGGUACAUACCAAUUCCAAAUACAUUACGAGAUGCAGCAAGUAAAUAACAACUGAUGACCGUUUUAACAAAUGGAAGAAUUUUUCCAUUUUCCUUUAUGGCAAACCACAAGUAUUUAAUUCCUUUGUAUGCAACUAUAAAGCCAGAGACCUUAACUUUGUAGCAGGUUUUGGAAAAACACAUCACACCAGAGGCAAAAGGGCAUUAAGACUUCAUGAAGAAAUGAAAGAAAUAAAUUUUGAAGAGGAAAGAUAAUGCGUCAAGGUCAACUUCCAGUUCUAUAAUCUACAGAAGGCACUCUUCCCAUUCACUGUUAUCUUGGCCUUAGCAUAUACGCCAAAGGAUUUUCCAUGAGGCUUCUCCUCAGACAGCUUGUCAGGCAUAACCAUUCCAAAUCCACACAAGGAGAAUUAGAUAUGUUGUAGGCCAGUGUACAACAAUUUAAGCCUCUAUGAAUAUGGAUCCUAUGAAAAUGAUGCUACACAAAGCUAAAUGGAGGGAAAGGAUCCAUAAAGCCAAUCUCAACCAGCUUGGAAAUCCAAAAUUGAGUCCAACAAGAGUAAAUGACAUCAAAUAAAAUAAUCAUAUCCCAUCCACUAAAGAUCAACUGCACAUUAAAAUAGUAAUUCUCUUUUGCAAACUUCUUACCAGUAAUAUGAUCUUCUAUGCACU
rnacentral:misc_RNA from 1 species